GGCUGGUCUGAGUGCAGUGGUGUUUACAACUAAUAUCACAACCAGUCACUGAUUUCUUUGUUCCUUCUCCGCUCCCACUGCUUCACUUGACUAGCCUAAA
rnacentral:Y_RNA from 1 species